CAGUAGCCGCGGUAAUACGGAGGGUGCAAGCGUUAAUCGGAAUUACUGGGCGUAAAGCGCACGCAGGCGGUCUGACAAGUCAGAUGUGAAAUCCCCGGGCUUAACCUGGGAACUGCAUUUGAAACUGUCAGGCUGGAGUCUUGUAGAGGGGGGUGGAAUUCCAGGUGUAGCGGUGAAAUGCGUAGAGAUCUGGAGGAAUACCGGUGGCGAAGGCGGCCACCUGGACAAAGACUGACGCUCAGGUGCGAAAGCGUGGGGAGCAAACAGGAUUAGAUACCCCGGUAGUCCCUGUCUCUUAUAC
rnacentral:rRNA from 1 species